AUUCCUGGAAUACGGGUCACGUUAUUCGGGUCAACGAGGAACGUCCUUCGUUCCUCGAUUCCCUUUAUGCACUUCCAUGGUGUCCAUGGUUAUUUCUGUACACGAGGUUGGCUGCAAUUGCACACGCCUUUCGUUCACGACGACGACGACGACGACGACGACGACGCAAGUAACAGCCACUAUUUCGUCGGCCUCCCCCCAACCCCUGCUCCACCAGCUUGCUUUUAUUUUUAAAGACGUUCACGGACGUCACACGGGGACGUCUUGAUUUGAUGAUCCGUAAUGAAAAGCAUCGUUCGAGAGACUCCAUCGUUGUACGUGCAUCACGUGUCAUCGAGGGUCUCUAACGGGAUUGUCGGGGAUCGAUCGGGGAUGGAUCGUUGAGAAUUUCUUUUGUUGGGAGACGUGUUUGAGAAUUAUUGUCCGUGAUUAAUCGUGUACAGAAAUAAUUUUUAUCAAAUCAUCAUCGAAAUAAUUUUGAACACAAUUAACGUUGGAUCGAAGAUACAUUGUUUAUAGACAAUUUAGAUAUACGAGAUAAACUGUAUAUCUAAUAAAUCUUGUUUUCCGAAAUUAUCUCUCUCAUAUCUACUUCACAUCGUUUCAAAACAUCGUUCCUCAAAAUUGCUCUUUAAAUCAGAGGAGACACGGAUUGGCAACGAUGUGAAAUCGAGGUUACGCGAAUAAAAUUGCAUCAACGAUAGCCCCACAGCUUGAGGAGCAUGUGUAUUCGUUCCAUCAGGUGGAACAUCCACCGUAUCCUGGAAAUAGAGUUUAUGUUUCGCGUCAUUUCCAUUUUUAUUCGAUUCGAGUUGAACUGGGAGGAAAUCGUUGACGAACAAUUUAAGAUUUGUUCAAGAUCGACGGGGCGAGCGAUGAAAAUAUAAGCGUCGCUGAAUGAAAACGGUGAAACGACACGUGGAUCAGUGUGGGGUUUCGAGAUUUAUAACGCUGAGCCAACGCCAAGAGAUACGAAUUGGAACAAUGACAAUGGCGAACAAGAGAAUAUUCUUGUCGAUGAAUUACGCGUGACAGAUCUUAAAUAAAAGUUGAAAGUCGAGAGAUUUUGUUGUUGCGCCAUAAUUCGCAAUUUAUAUGUGUAAUUAUCUCACGCCUUUCUCACGUUGUCGAGAAUCAAAUAUUGUUUUAAAAUCGACCGUGAUGAGAUCUUUCGUUUUCUCUUAGAUCAAUGCCAUCUUAGGAAAUUUUCAUUUCUUCUGCAGUUUUAAUUUGAUGGAUAAAUGUUAUUUAUUUAAUUCUAGUCCUAUUGAGAAUUAUCGUCGAAAAGAGAAUUUUUUGAGAAAUCGUAAUCAGGAUUUAUGAUAACAUUUAGAAUAAAUAAUAGUUAAGUUUGAAAAAAAAAUAGAAUAAAAUUUCUUCUAUUCUAACUAUUCUAAUUUUUGAUCUAUAAAUUUGAAGAUAUUUCAAAUUCUAGGAUUAUAAUUUAAUUUCAAGUUUGGAAUAACGAAAAAAUAUAUCGAGGAAAGGUUUUUAAUUAUUUUAUACAUUUUAAAUAUUAUUAAUUGAAAUAAAGUAAAAGUAAUUAAUAAAAUGUACGAUAAAUUACUAAAAAUAUUAAUUAUUUCGAUAACGAAGCAAAUUUUCGAGUAAAAUUAUUUCACUGCUUUAUAUUUAAUAUUAUAUACGCAGUGUCUAAAAUUUUUGUCUUUUUGUUUUAAUGAUCACACGUGCGUGUAAUAGUCGCAUUAACGUUGAUUAAUGAAAAUUUAUCGAGUAUCAUCGAAUAUUAUAACAAAAUAUGAACGACACACAUUUAUUAGACGCAAAAGCUGUAUAUCAAUGCGAAAUUUCAUAAUAAAGUGAAAUUUUACCGUGAAUUUUACACAAAUAGACGUUAUAUUUUCGCCAAGUAUAGCGAGAAUUAUUUCCCUCAGUUUAUGUAAAAGUUAUUAUGGAUAUCAAUGUUUAUUUUUUUUUUCACAAAAAAAAAAAAGAUACUCUCGUUUCGAUGUUGAAACGAAGUUGACGCGUGAUUUUUAUUUUUCAUUUCCGUAAAAUUCCUGCGAGUUGCGAAUAUUUGUUUUUUGUAAUCAGCGUCCAAUUAUAUUAUUCGCGAAAUUUUUUCUAAAAAAAAAAAAAAACGAAAUCGCAUUUAAAAAUCUUCGAGUUUCAAAUUCGCAUAAAAUUUUUUACUUUAUUUUAUUUUGAAUUUCUUGGAAAUUUCGAUUUUGAAGAAUUCGCAAUAAUUUAAUCAAAUAAAAUUGAAUUUAACAACUUCUCGUUUUAUUCAAACUAAAUGCAAACCGUGUUAGAAAUAAAAUAUCGCUGCAAAUAUAGCCACAAGAUAAGCUUUAUGGAACCAAGAUUCACCAGCGAUACGUUUUAAUUUUUCAAGUCUUUCCACCUUGCGAAUUAAUUGAAAAAAUCUUUGCUAGCGUUGUCACGUUAUUAUGUAGUGUUAUCACGCGUUACAAGCGUUACGAGCGAGGUAACAAGCUGCGAUCUAAUGCCAUGGAGGGCUUGGUAAUUACACUGUUAACCAGAAGACGUAGCUUAUCUUGAAUAUUUUACGAUGGCGCACGUCUAUUGACCUUAACUAAGUACCUUCGUCCAUACCACAAAGGGAUACGCAAUCUUUCUCUUUGUCCCUCUAUAUUUUUCUCACGAAAGAAAACGACUUAGAAAAAUCGUUGAAACGACUUGUCUCAACGACUUUUUUUAUUAAAUUAAUGAAAGAUACCAAGUUGAGGUCAAUAAUUAAAGAUUAACAGUUUACGUGUUUCGAGGAUAAAGAUGGUCGUGGACAAGAGAUAUAUUAUAUUGUAUUUAUAUUUCAAUUAAAAAUGAUUAUUAAACUAAAAAAUGAUUAUAA